UUUGUAGGUGGCCUGCUAAGUCAGACGUGAAAUCCCUCAGCUUAACUGGGGAACUGCGUCUGAGACUGGUGGGCUCGAGGACAGGAGAGGAACGCGGAAUUCCAGGUGUAGCGGUGAAAUGCGUAGAUAUCUGGAGGAACACCGGUGGCGAAGGCGGCGUUCUGGACUGUUUCUGACACUGAAAAACGAAAGCCAGGGGAGCAAACGGGAUUAGAUACCCCGGUAGUCCUGGCCCUAAACGAUGAAUGCUUGGUGUGACGGGUAUCGAUCCCUGUCGUGCCGAAGUUAACGCGAUAAGCAUUCCGCCUGGGGAGUACGGUCGCAAGGCUGAA
rnacentral:rRNA from 1 species